GACGAACGCUGGCGGCGUGCCUAAUACAUGCAAGUCGAACGAGAAAUUCUUACACCGGAUGCUUGCAUCCACCGUAAGAUUUCGAGUGGCGGACGGGUGAGUAACACGUGGGUAACCUGCCCAAAAGAAGGGGAUAACAUUUGGAAACAAGUGCUAAUACCGUAUAACCAUGAUGACCGCAUGGUCAUGAUGUAAAAGGUGGUUUUGCUAUCGCUUUUGGAUGGACCCGCGGCGUAUUAACUAGUUGGUAAGGUAACGGCUUACCAAGGUGAUGAUACGUAGCCGAACUGAGAGGUUGAUCGGCCACAAUGGGACUGAGACACGGCCCAUACUCCUACGGGAGGCAGCAGUAGGGAAUCUUCGGCAAUGGACGCAAGUCUGACCGAGCAACGCCGCGUGAGUGAAGAAGGUUUUCGGAUCGUAAAGCUCUGUUGUUAGAGAAGAACAAGUAAGAUAGUAACUGAUCUUGCCUUGACGGUAUCUAACCAGAAAGCCACGGCUAACUACGUGCCAGCAGCCGCAGUAAAAC
rnacentral:rRNA from 1 species